rnacentral:rRNA from 1 species
UACGGGGGGGGCAAGCGUUGUUCGGAAUUACUGGGCGUAAAGGGCUCGUAGGCGGCCAACUAAGUCGGACGUGAAAUCCCCAGGCUCAACCUGGGAACUGCGUCUGAUACUGGGUGGCUUGAAUCCGGGAGAGGGAUGCAGAAUUCCAGGUGUAGCGGUGAAAUGCGUAGAUAUCUGGAGGAAUACCGGUGGCGAAGGCGGCAUCCUGGACCGACAUUGACGCUGAUGAGCGAAAGCUAGGGGAGCAAACGGG